AUACGUAGGGGGCGAGCGUUGCUCGGAAUUACUGGGCGUAAAGGGAGUGCAGGCGGCCGGUUAAGUCAAAGAUGAAAUCCCGAGGCUUAACUUCGGAACGGUCUUUGAUACUGAUCGGCUUGAGGCUGGCUGAGGAGAGCGGAAUUCCCGGUGGAGCGGUGAAAUGCGUAGAUAUCGGGAGGAACACCAGAGGCGAAGGCGGCUCUCUAAACUAGUCCUGACGCUGAGACUCGAAAGCUAGGGGAGCAAACGGGAUUAGAUACCCCGGUAGUCCUAGCCGUAAACGAUGGACACUAGAUGUUCUCGCGUUCAUGCGGGAGUGUCGUAGCUAACGCGUUAAGUGUCCCGCCUGGGGAGUACGGUCGCAAGGCUGAA
rnacentral:rRNA from 1 species